GGUUAAGCGACUAAGCGUACACGGUGGAUGCCCUGGCAGUCAGAGGCGAUGAAGGGCGUGCUAAUCUGCGAUAAGCGCCGGUAAGGUGAUAUGAACCGUUAUAACCGGCGAUACCCGAAUGGGGAAACCCAGUGUGAUUCGUCACACUAUCAUUAACUGAAUCCAUAGGUUAAUGAGGCGAACCGGGGGAACUGAAACAUCUAAGUACCCCGAGGAAAAGAAAUCAACCGAGAUUCCCCCAGUAGCGGCGAGCGAACGGGGAGGAGCCCAGAGCCUGAAUCAGCAUGUGUGUUAGUGGAAGCGUCUGGAAAGGCGCGCGAUACAGGGUGACAGCCCCGUACACAAAAGCGCAUGUGCUGUGAGCUCGAUGAGUAGGGCGGGACACGUGGUAUCCUGUCUGAAUAUGGGGGGACCAUCCUCCAAGGCUAAAUACUCCUGACUGACCGAUAGUGAACCAGUACCGUGAGGGAAAGGCGAAAAGAACCCCGGCGAGGGGAGUGAAAAAGAACCUGAAACCGUGUACGUACAAGCAGUGGGAGCACCCUUUGGGUGUGACUGCGUACCUUUUGUAUAAUGGGUCAGCGACUUAUAUUCUGUAGCAAGGUUAACCGAAUAGGGGAGCCGGAGGGAAACCGAGUCUUAACCGGGCGUUAAGUUGCAGGGUAUAGACCCGAAACCCGGUGAUCUAGCCAUGGGCAGGUUGAAGGUUGGGUAACACUAACUGGAGGACCGAACCGACUAAUGUUGAAAAAUUAGCGGAUGACCUGUGGCUGGGGGUGAAAGGCCAAUCAAACCGGGAGAUAGCUGGUUCUCCCCGAAAGCUAUUUAGGUAGCGCCUCGUGAAUUCAUCUCCGGGGGUAGAGCACUGUUUCGGCUAGGGGGCCAUCCCGGCUUACCAACCCGAUGCAAACUGCGAAUACCGGAGAAUGUUAUCACGGGAGACACACGGCGGGUGCUAACGUCCGUCGUGAAGAGGGAAACAACCCAGACCGCCAGCUAAGGUCCCAAAGUCAUGGUUAAGUGGGAAACGAUGUGGGAAGGCCCAGACAGCCAGGAUGUUGGCUUAGAAGCAGCCAUCAUUUAAAGAAAGCGUAAUAGCUCACUGGUCGAGUCGGCCUGCGCGGAAGAUGUAACGGGGCUAAACCAUGCACCGAAGCUGCGGCAGCGACACUGUGUGUUGUUGGGUAGGGGAGCGUUCUGUAAGCCUGUGAAGGUGUGUCGUGAGGCAUGCUGGAGGUAUCAGAAGUGCGAAUGCUGACAUAAGUAACGAUAAAGCGGGUGAAAAGCCCGCUCGCCGGAAGACCAAGGGUUCCUGUCCAACGUUAAUCGGGGCAGGGUGAGUCGACCCCUAAGGCGAGGCCGAAAGGCGUAGUCGAUGGGAAACGGGUUAAUAUUCCCGUACUUGGUGUUACUGCGAAGGGGGGACGGAGAAGGCUAUGUUGGCCGGGCGACGGUUGUCCCGGUUUAAGCGUGUAGGUGUGUGUUCCAGGUAAAUCCGGUUCACUUUAACACUGAGGCGUGACGACGAGGCACUACGGUGCUGAAGCAACAAAUGCCCUGCUUCCAGGAAAAGCCUCUAAGCAUCAGGUAACAUCAAAUCGUACCCCAAACCGACACAGGUGGUCAGGUAGAGAAUACCAAGGCGCUUGAGAGAACUCGGGUGAAGGAACUAGGCAAAAUGGUGCCGUAACUUCGGGAGAAGGCACGCUGACACGUAGGUGAAGUGAUUUACUCAUGGAGCUGAAGUCAGUCGAAGAUACCAGCUGGCUGCAACUGUUUAUUAAAAACACAGCACUGUGCAAACACGAAAGUGGACGUAUACGGUGUGACGCCUGCCCGGUGCCGG
rnacentral:rRNA from 2 species